UACGGGGGGGGCAAGCGUUAUCCGGAUUUACUGGGCGUAAAGCGCGUUCAGGCGGUUUGGCAAGUCGGGCAUGAAAUCUCUCGGCUCAACCGGGAGAGGUUGUCCGAUACUGCUGGACUUGAGGGCAGUAGAGGGUGGUGGAAUUCCGGGUGUAGUGGUGAAAUGCGUAGAUAUCCGGAGGAACACCAGUGGCGAAAGCGGCCACCUGGACUGUACCUGACGCUAACACGCGAAAGCUAGGGGAGCGAACGGG
rnacentral:rRNA from 1 species